CCGGGAUGGGCGCUGGGUGCCCGGCCGGCGCUGGCACGGACACGGCUCAAGGGCUGCCCGUGGCUCCCGGGCCAGGGGCUGCUCUGAGCAGGCUCCUGGAGACGCUUCAGCCUGGAUACAGGCCACUGACAGCCCAAAAGCAGCCCAAGGAGCAGCUGGCGUGUCCUGGUGAUGGUGGCACUGGCUGCGUGCAGAGGGGCUCAGACAGCAAUUCCUGGUUCCAGCCUCCCAGAGCUCCCAGGCAGCUGCCAGCUAUUAAAUGCCAACCGACAGCCUGCAGAGAUGCCUUCAAAUCAAAGGUUCAGGUGGGAUGAAGUUUUGUUUGGACGAAGGUGGGAGUUUCCAGGGAGCCAGCUGGAAGUGCAGAAGGGAUGGAAAGCUUUCCCAGGUGCUGGACUUGCCUCUGUGGAUGUGUGCUGAGCUCUCACUGCAGGGGACUGUGAGGCCUGACUGGCUGUGAGUUUGUGUUCUUCUCACAGGAGAAUCAGAAAUGAUCAUUAAUUAGACCACAGAAAUCUUUUCUGAAACCUUUCCCCUUUCCUGCCCUUUGCUGGUAAGUCUUUUCUUUCUGCCUUUAACUCUACAGCUGUUCCCUGAUGUCA